rnacentral:rRNA from 1 species
GAGUUUGAUCAUGGCUCAGGAUGAACGCGGGCGGCGUGCUUAACACAUGCAAGUCGAACGAACCUUCGGGUUAGUGGCGGACGGGUGAGUAACGCGUGAGAAUCUGCCCUCAGGAGGGGGAUAACGGCUGGAAACGGCCGCUAAUACCCCAUAUGCCGCGAGGUGAAAUGAAUUUCGCCUGAGGAUGAGCUCGCGUCUGAUUAGCUAGUUGGUGUAGGUAAUGGCUCACCAAGGCAUCGAUCAGUAGCUGGUCUGAGAGGAUGAUCAGCCACACUGGGACUGAGACACGGCCCAGACUCUUACGGGAGGCAGCAGUGGGGAAUUUUCCGCAAUGGGCGCAAGCCUGACGGAGCAACGCCGCGUGAGGGAUGAAGGCCUCUGGGCUGUAAACCUCUUUUAUCAAGGAAGAAGAUCUGACGGUACUUGAUGAAUAAGCCACGGCUAAUUCCGUGCCAGCAGCCGCGGUAAUACGGGAGUGGCAAGCGUUAUCCGGAAUUAUUGGGCGUAAAGCGUCCGCAGGCGGCCCUUCAAGUCUGCUGUUAAAACGUGGAGCUUAACUCCAUCAUGGCAGUGGAAACUGUUGGGCUUGAGUGUGGUAGGGGCAGAGGGAAUUCCCGGUGUAGCGGUGAAAUGCGUAGAUAUCGGGAAGAACACCAGUGGCGAAGGCGCUCUGCUGGGCCAUCACUGACGCUCAUGGACGAAAGCCAGGGGAGCGAAAGGGAUUAGAUACCCCUGUAGUCCUGGCCGUAAACGAUGAACACUAGGUGUCGGGGGAAUCGACCCCUUCGGUGUCGUAGCCAACGCGUUAAGUGUUCCGCCUGGGGAGUACGCACGCAAGUGUGAAACUCAAAGGAAUUGACGGGGGCCCGCACAAGCGGUGGAGUAUGUGGUUUAAUUCGAUGCAACGCGAAGAACCUUACCAGGGUUUGACAUCCUGCGAAUCUCUUGGAAACGAGAGAGUGCCUUCGGGAGCGCAGUGACAGGUGGUGCAUGGCUGUCGUCAGCUCGUGUCGUGAGAUGUUGGGUUGAGUCCCGCAACGAGCGCAACCCACGUCUUUAGUUGCCAGCAUUUAGUUGGGCACUCUAGAGAGACCGCCGGUGAUAAACCGGAGGAAGGUGUGGAUGACGUCAAGUCAUCAUGCCCCUUACAUCCUGGGCUACACACGUACUACAAUGCUACGGACAAAGGGCAGCAAGUUCGCGAGGACAAGCAAAUCCCAUAAACCGUGGCUCAGUUCAGAUCGUAGGCUGCAACUCGCCUACGUGAAGUAGGAAUCGCUAGUAAUCGCAGGUCAGCAUACUGCGGUGAAUACGUUCCCGGGCCUUGUACACACCGCCCGUCACACCAUGGAAGUUGGCCACGCCCGAAGCCGUUACUCCAACCCUUGUGGAGGAGGACGUCGAAGGUGGGGCUGAUGACUGGGGUGAAGUCGUAACAAGGUAACC